rnacentral:rRNA from 1 species
UCCCGUUGAUCCUGCGGGAGAUUGCUGCUAUUGGGAUUCCAAUUAGACAUGCAAGUCAGGGGUUCUUCGGAACACCGGCGAAAGGCUCAGUAACACGUCGAUAAUCUGCCCUUAAGUCUGGGAUAACCUUGGGAAACUGAGGCUAAUACUGGAUAGGAGAUUGAUGCUGGAAUGCACUUUCUCUGAAAGGUAACGCUUAAGGAUGAGUCGGCGGCUGAUUAGCUUGUUGGUGAGGUAAAGGCUCACCAAGGCUUUGAUCGGUAGGGGAGAUGAGAGUCUUGGCCUCGAGAAGGGCACUGAGACACUGGCCCUAGCCCUAAGGUGUGCAGCAGUUAGGCAAACUUUACAAUGCACGAAAGUGUGAUAAGGGAAUCCCAAGUGCUUAUGUUUUACAUAGGCUUUUGCUAAGUGUAAGGAGCUUGGCGAAUAAGUGGUGGGCAAGACCGGUGCCAGCCGCCGCGGUAACACCGGCGCCACGAGUGGCAAUCGUUUUUAUUGGGCCUAAAGCGUUCGUAGCUGGUUUAGUAAAUUUCUUGUGAAAUUGUUUGACUCAAUCAAACAGCGUGCAAGAAAGACUGCUAGACUUGGGACCGGGAGGAGGCAGAGGUAUUCUAGGGGGAGCGGUAAAAUGCUAUAAUCCCUGGAGGACCACCUAUGGCGAAGGCUUCUGUCUAGAACGGGUUCGACAGUGAGGAACGAAGGCUAGGGGAGCAUCUGGAUUAGAUACCCAAGUAGUCCUAGCAGUAAACGCUGCGAGCUAUGUGGUGCACAUUCUUCGUGGAUGUGCAGCGCCUAAGCGAAGGCGUUAAGCUCGCCGCCUGGGAAGUAUAGUCGCAAGACCGAAACUUAAAGGAAUUGGCGGGGGCUCACUACAAGGGGUGCGGCGUGCGGUUUAAUUGGAUUACACACCGGAAAUUUCACCAGGGGCGACGGCAGGAUGAAGGUCAGGCUGAAGGUCUUACCUAACAAGCCGAGAGGUGGUGCAUGGCCGUCGUCAGUUCGUGCCGUAAGGUGUCCUGUUAAGUCAGGCAACGAACAAGACCCAUGCUUACAUUUGCUAUCAGGUUCUCCGGAAUGACUGAGCACAGUGUAGGGACCGCUCUUGAAAAGGAGAGGAAGGUGUGGGCAACGAUAGGUCUGUAUGCCCCGAAUCUCCUGGGCUACACGCGCGCAACAAUGGUAAGGACAAUGGGAUGCAACUCCGAGAGGAGAAGCCAAACCUCGAAACCUUAUCUUAGUCUAGAUCGAGGGCUGUAAUUCGCCCUCGUGACACCGGAAUCCCUAGUAAUCGGGUUUCAACAUGACCCGGUGAACAUGUCCCUGAGCCUUGCACACACUGCCCAUCAAACCAACCGAGCAGUGCUUGGGCGAGGAUUAUCUUCUUUGGAUAAUUCGAACCUAAGUUCAGUGAGGUGGGUUAAGUUGUCACAAGGUA